GAGUUUGAUCCUGGCUCAGGACGAACGCUGGCGGCGGGCUUAACACAUGCAAGUCGAACGGGAACCUUUAUUUCGGUAAAGGUGAGAGUGGCAAACGGGUGAGUAACACGUAGGCAACCUGCCGACAGGAUGGGGACAACAUUCCGAAAGGAAUGCUAAUACCGAAUGAAGUCCGAGAGGGGCAUCCCUCCUGGAUGAAAGAUGGCCUCUGAACAUGCUAUCACCUGUCGAUGGGCCUGCGUCUGAUUAGCCAGUUGGCGGGGUAACGGCCCACCAAAGCGACGAUCAGUAGCCGGUCUGAGAGGAUGAACGGCCACAUUGGGACUGAGACACGGCCCAGACUCCUACGGGAGGCAGCAGUGGGGAAUCUUCCACAAUGGGCGAAAGCCUGAUGGAGCAACGCCGCGUGAGUGAAGAAGGUCUUCGGAUCGUAAAGCUCUGUUGCAGGGGACGAAAACCGGGUUUGAAAACAUUGAGCCUGGGUGACGGUACCUUGCGAGGAAGCCACGGCUAACUACGUGCCAGCAGCCGCGGUAAUACGUAGGUGGCGAGCGUUGUCCGGAAUUAUUGGGCGUAAAGGGAGCGCAGGCGGGCUGCCAAGUCCAUCUUAAAAGUGCGGGGCUCAACCCCGUGAGGGGAUGGAAACUGGCAGUCUUGAGUGCAGGAGAGGAAAGCGGAAUUCCCAGUGUAGCGGUGAAACGCGUAGAUAUUGGGAGG
rnacentral:rRNA from 1 species